UUAAUCCUCACAUUUAUGAAUACAGGAAUUA
rnacentral:piRNA from 2 species